GGGGAUUUAGCUCAGUGGUAGAGCGCUUGCCUAGCAAGCGUCAAGGCCCUGGGUUCGGUCCCCAGCUCCG
rnacentral:tRNA from 1 species